rnacentral:rRNA from 1 species
GACGAACGCUGGCGGCGUGCUUAACACAUGCAAGUCGAACGCUGAAGCUCAGCUUGCUGGGUGGAUGAGUGGCGAACGGGUGAGUAGCACGUGAGUAACCUGCCCUCUUCUUUGGGAUAACGCCCGGAAACGGGUGCUAAUACUGGAUAUUCACUGAUUCUCGCAUGGGGGUUGGUGGAAAGGUUUUUUCUGGUGGGGGAUGGGCUCGCGGCCUAUCAGCUUGUUGGUGGGGUGAUGGCCUACCAAGGCUUUGACGGGUAGCCGGCCUGAGAGGGUGACCGGUCACAUUGGGACUGAGAUACGGCCCAGACUCCUACGGGAGGCAGCAGUGGGGAAUAUUGCACAAUGGGCGAAAGCCUGAUGCAGCGACGCCGCGUGAGGGAUGGAGGCCUUCGGGUUGUAAACCUCUUUCGCUCAUGGUCAAGCCGCAGCUUUGGGUUGUGGUGAGGGUAGUGGGUAAAGAAGCGCCGGCUAACUACGUG